GCCAGUAGCAAUAGCGUAUUGAACACACCAGUUCCCAAUGGAUCACUGAAGUUAAGCAACAUUGCAUAUAGUUAGUAUCUGGAUGCAUGACCAUAUGGACAACAGUGUGUUGCCUGGU
rfam:Asian citrus Psyllid, Diaphorina citri - Florida Strain, whole genome shotgun sequence.